GUUGGGAAUCUUGCACAAUGGGGGAAACCCUGAUGCAGCGACGCCGCGUGGAGGAUGAAGGAUCUAGGUCUGUAAACUCCUUUUUCACGGAAAGACUUAGGACGGUACCGUGAGAAUAAGCCCCGGCUAACUACGUGCCAGCAGCCGCGGUAAGACGUAGGGGGCGAGCGUUGUCCGGAUUUACUGGGCGUAAAGGGCGCGUAGGCGGUCUGUUAAGUGUGAAGCUAAAUCUCCGAGCUCAACUCGGAAAUCAUUUCGCAUACUGGCAGACUGGAGGAAGGAAGAGGUAACUGGAAUUCCUGGUGUAACGGUGAAAUGUGUUGAUAUCAGGAGGAACUCCAAUGGCGAAGGCAGGUUACUGGUCCUUUUCUGACGCUGAGGCGCGAAAGCGUGGGUAGCAAACAGGAUUAGAUACCCGAGUAGUCC
rnacentral:rRNA from 1 species